GUGAGGUAAUGGCUCACCAAGGCGACGACGGGUAGCCGGCCUGAGAGGGUGACCGGCCACACUGGAACUGAGACACGGUCCAGACUCCUACGGGAGGCAGCAGUGGGGAAUAUUGCACAAUGGGCGCAAGCCUGAUGCAGCAACGCCGCGUGAGGGACGAAGGCCUUCGGGUUGUAAACCUCUUUUAGCAGGGAAGAAGCGAAAGUGACGGUACCUGCAGAAAAAGCACCGGCUAACUACGUGCCAGCAGCCGCGGUAAUACGUAGGGUGCAAGCGUUGUCCGGAAUUAUUGGGCGUAAAGAGCUCGUAGGCGGUUUGUCGCGUCUGCUGUGAAAACUGGAAGCUCAACUUCCAGCCUGCAGUGGGUACGGGCAGACUAGAGUGCGGUAGGGGAGAACGGAAUUCCUGGUGUAGCGGUGGAAUGCGCAGAUAUCAGGAGGAACACCGAUGGCGAAGGCAGUUCUCUGGGCCGUUACUGACGCUGAGGAGCGAAAGCGUGGGGAGCGAACAGGAUUAGAUACCCUGGUAGUCCACGCCGUAAACGGUGGGUGCUAGCUGUGGGCCACAUUCCACGUGGUCCGUGACGAAGUUAACACAUUAAGCA
rnacentral:rRNA from 1 species